GUGGGGAAUAUUGGACAAUGGGCGAAAGCCUGAUCCAGCAACGCCGCGUGAGGGAUGACGGCCUUCGGGUUGUAAACCUCUUUCAGCAGGGACGAAGCGAAAGUGACGGUACCUGCAGAAGAAGGACCGGCCAACUACGUGCCAGCAGCCGCGGUAAUACGUAGGGUCCGAGCGUUGUCCGGAAUUAUUGGGCGUAAAGGGCUCGUAGGCGGUCUGUCGCGUCGGGAGUGAAAACUCAGGGCUCAACCCUGAGCGUGCUUCCGAUACGGGCAGACUAGAGGUAUGCAGGGGAGAACGGAAUUCCUGGUGUAGCGGUGGAAUGCGCAGAUAUCAGGAGGAACACCGGUGGCGAAGGCGGUUCUCUGGGCAUUACCUGACGCUGAGGAGCGAAAGCAUGGGGAGCGAACAGGAUUAGAAACCCGUGUAGUCC
rnacentral:rRNA from 1 species